GUCGAGCGCUGAUUACGGGGUAGCAAUAUCUCGUAGUUGGAGCGGCGCAAGGGUGCGUAACACGUGGGUAAUCUGCCAUGAAGUUUGGGAUAACUUGCUGAAAGGCGAGCUAAUACCGGAUGUGAAGAUUGGAGGGCAUCUUCUGAUUUUCAAAGCUGGGGACCGUAAGGCCUGGCGCUUCAUGAUGAGCCCGCGGCCUAUCAGCUAGUUGGUAAGGUAACGGCUUACCAAGGCUAAGACGGGUAGCUGGUCUGAGAGGACGACCAGCCACACUGGAACUGAGACACGGUCCAGACACCUACGGGUGGCAGCAGUCGAGAAUUUUUCACAAUGGGCGCAAGCCUGAUGGAGCGACGCCGCGUGGGGGAUGAAUGGCUUCGGCCCGUAAACCCCUGUCAUUUGCGAACAAUUCGUUCCACCUAAAACGUGGAGCGUUGAUAGUAGCGAAAGAGGAAGGGACGGCUAACUCUGUGCCAGCAGCCGCGGUAAUACAGAGGUCCCAAGCGUUGUUCGGAUUCACUGGGCGUAAAGGGUGCGUAGGUGGCGGGGUAAGUCGGAUGUGAAAGCUCGGAGCUCAACUCCGAAAUGGCAUUGGAAACUACUCUGCUCGAGGAUUGGAGGGGGGACUGGAAUACUUGGUGUAGCAGUGAAAUGCGUAGAUAUCAAGUGGAACACCAGUGGCGAAGGCGAGUCCCUGGACAAUUCCUGACACUGAGGCACGAAAGCUAGGGGAGC
rnacentral:rRNA from 1 species